UCCCAGAUAGCUCAGUAGAUUAAAGAAUCCGCCUGCAAUGCAGGAGACCCAGGUUCAAUUCCUGGGUCGGGAA
rnacentral:tRNA from 1 species